CCGGGAACUCGAGGAGAAGCUGGGCUGCUGAGGACCGGAAGAGCUGAGAUGCUUGUGACUGUUGCCUUGGAGACGGCUUUCCGAAAUCUUCUUCCUUUUAGCCCGUCUUCUCUUAACAGCCCGCAUCGCCCCGGGGUUUGUGGCCCUGUCUUCUCGUCCUCGGGAGCCAGGUUCUAGGAAUGCGUCUUUCCCGGUGCAGGAGACAGGCGUGGGAAGACCCGGCACGCCCGACCACAGAGAUUUCGGUCCUCCGGGAUUCUAGAGCGGCCGGCUUGUAGCCGCCACUGACUUCCGGUGGCUGGUCCUGUCCGCGCGGCUUCCGGCGUCCCUGGACCUCAGCUCCAGGCCUUGUGGCCUGCCGGCGCCCUGUCCUGUCUUCCGCACUUCGGGCCGCGGCGGAGCCGAGGGAGGGCAGCGGGCCGAGCCGUCCAGCCCCGGCCCCGUCAUGGAGCGUGAGGGGCAACGGACACCCAGAGGGCAGAGCCCGCACCGGCACCGAGGUGCCUGACCCAUCCCAGAGCCCGCCAGGUCAUUCAUUCACGUAGCAGGUGUUUAUGGAGCACCGUCCUUCCCAGGCUCGGUGCUGAGGAGGCAAGGGCGGACAUGGUGGGCAGUGUGAACUGGAGAAGUUUUCAGCGGGGAGUUCGAGGGGGUUUUGGAGUUAGGACUCCAAACCCGGCAGGGUUUCCGGCAAGUGGGUUGAGACGGAAGGGCAGGAAGCUGCGGGAGACGGGGAGCAGAGGUGUGGAGGCUGAGAGGUGGAGGAACGCAGGCCUUCUGCAGAGAGCAGGAUGGAAUUCGAUGGUUAGGGCCCGAGUGCCAGACUGGGCGUUUAUUCCUGAGGCCGCAGACGAGUGGUGGACGGGUGGACCCUGACCGGAAGUGAGUUUUGUAAGUCCAAUGGAUUUUGCAGACCUUGGUUUGGCUACUCAAUAAUGCUUUCCCAAGACCAAGCCUACGUCUUUCUGCUUUGCCAUCAUCUGCAUGACAUCCUGCUUCUCCCAUCAUGGAUGCAAGAUGGCUGCUGUACUCUGGCCAUCACAUGAUGUUUAAGACAGGACAAGGGAGGAGAAGUGCGUGUUGGUGCCAUCUGUCCCCUUUCGUCACAAAUGCAAAAGCCUUCCUGGUAGCCGCCAGCAGCCUUCCGCUUUCAUCUCAUUGAAGAGAACAGUGCCGCAUGGCCACCUCUAGCUGCAAGAAUCUUGGAAAUCAAGUGUCUGGAUAGGCACAAUGCAGCCCCCCAAAUCAGGGGAGGCUGGAGAACAGCUAUUGGGGGGAGAGCUCGCAGGUGAAAGGGGCUCAAGAGCCCAUCGUGGGUGUGGCCAAGGGACUGGGGGGGGGGCUGGGAGGUGCCCCGAUGCCCAUGACAAAGGCUGGGCCUCUUCGAGGGGCAGCAAGGGUCUCAGUGGGCCUGGCCCCUCCUCUUCAGGGCUCAGGGCUCCUCCUAGCCCUGGGGGUCCCCUGCUGUUCCAACAGGUGUUUGUCGAGAGCCGGGGCCUCCCACUGACCUCAGGCCCAGCAUCUCCCAGGUCGCCCCGGGUGACGCAGCCUGGGAGCUGAGGCAGGUGCUCCCGUCUCCACGCCGUCCCCACUGAGCUCAGCACACUCACACGCAGCCCCACAGUGACACACUCACACUCACCCAGUCACACAGAUGUGGUCACACGUCCCUUUACACUCACAGAACCACAGGCACACCCAUACACAGGGACACCCUCAGAUACACCACUCUGUACACACACAUCCUCACACACAUGCCUACACUCGUACUUGCACGUUUACAUUCACACACACCCAAGGCCUCAAAGACAUACUCACAGGCACUGCCAUAAACACACACAGGGACUCACACACGGACUUGCACAGGCAUGAACAGGGAUGUGCAUACACACACAAGGGUAGGCACACUGCACAGGCACACACACCUGCAGGUGCACAGUGGACGGGACCUCCACUCUAGGAAGUCACACACAGGAACUGGCAGAGAUGCCUGUGCAGGGGCAUGCACACACACACGCACACGCACACACAGGACACACAUGCACACACACGGACUCCUCCCUCCCAUUCUGCUUCUCAGUCUGUCUGGCCUUGGCAUGGGCCUGGGCUGCUGCACACUGGCCAGGGCAGCCUGCCAGCCUCCCCGUGGCCCUGGAGGAAGCUGGAAGGAGUGGUUCCUGCCCACAGAGGCCUCACGGGUCAGUGGUCAGGGUGAGCAAUGCUUCACACCAGAGGUGGAGCCUGGCCUGGCAGGCAGGGGGUGGGCAGGGGGGUUCAGGGGGGCUGCUGCGGCUCAUUGGACGGUCCAUGCCAUGGAGCAGGGCUGAGCCUGGCCCUCCUGCCUCUGCGGGGGACAUCAGCAGCCUUGGCAGGCCGGGCCACCCCUGAGGCCCAGUGCGGUUUGGGUGGAGGGCAGCAGGAGGCCUGCCAGGGGUGGCUGUCCCGGGCUUCCACCCUCCCCACCCCUGCCUCCACCCCGGGCACAGAUCCAGGAGACCUCAGGCCUCCUGCCACAGUGCCUGCAACCCCCCUGCUGUGCUGCCCGCCUCAGUGGCCCCGAGGGAUCCCAGGGGCCCAGCAAACAUGCUGAGACUGACAUCAGCCAUUCCAGAAUGUUCCCUGAGGCCUGCUCUGUGCCUGGCCAGGGUUUGGGCACAGGGAAUUGUGUCUGCCGCUCUCAGGCAUGUCACAGAUACUGCGAGAUAAUCGUCUCCCUGUGCGUCAGCCAGGGCGGGGCCGCCCCUCCCCCUGGUCCUGCCCUUCCCCAGAAGGCCUGGCGCGGGGCCCUGUCGUGUCUUCACUCGCUCUCCCUCUGCGCUGUGCUGGCCGCUGCCAACUCUCUCCCCCCCCGUGUCCCGGAGGCAACGCCCCUAGCCCGAACCCCUGAUCCCACCCGCGACCUCACCGGCUUACCCUGCGCCCUGCUUCUCUCCCCAGGCUCCUCGUCUCAGCGGAUGGCACCUCUGUCAGGCCGGGCCCCAAGCCAGGCGCCUGGCACCACCCAACCCCUCCCCACCCUCACCGCAUGUCUGCUCUACCACCCCCACCCACCUGCAAAGCAGACCCCAAACCCCCACCUCAGUCGCCAGUAAAAAGGAACAAAAUAGUUACUAUGGCCAAGAGAUUACACUGGAGUCAGGAGGUCAUUCUGGAGAUGACUCUUGGCAGAUCUCAGCCUGAGAUGACACAGUGCCAGCGCACGCAGGGCCUCAAGCAGCAGUGCACCUCGAAACCCCAAGGACACCCGGACACCAGAAGACAAACCCCAGGAGAGAGAACUCAGCAAGCUCCCUAACCUGCAGGGCGAUCGGGGGACCCCAAAUAGCCACUAGCCACCACCACCGUGUCUCGUCUUUUCCUUUGAAACCCCUUGCCUGGAAUUGCCACCGCGGGACCCGCUUUGCAUUGCUCCCUGACUCUGCUCCCCGAAGUGCAAUUCUGAGGCCCUGAGUAAAUGCCGUCAUUACCUGGCAGCUUCCUUUGUGACGCUAGUCAACACGCUCCACCAACGUGGAUCUGGCACCUGUAUGUGCCAAGCACCAGGUGAACAAAACCCAAAAAUCUGCCCUCAGGGAAUUUAGAUCUGGGUUUGGGAGAGAACAACAAUCAACAAAACAAAUCGCUGAAGUAUAUGGUGUCUUCGAAGGAGACAAAUGCCUCGCAGAACAAGGAAGCAGGGGCUGCAGUAGGAGGGGUGAGGAUGAUUUGAAGUGGAACAGGGAAGACGUCUGAGCGCGGGCUCGAAGGACGGGAGGGGGCGCGUGGAGACCGGAGUAGGGAGAGUGAGCAGCAGGUGCGGAGGCCCGCGCGGGCAUGGCGUGUGCGGCACGAUUUGUAAAUGGACUGGAAAACACAACAGGAGGAUGGUUAAUAAAAAAGUGUCCCAAUUGAGGCAAAGCCACGCACACGUGCCCGCACCAUGCAGUGAUGGAAGAGAAUUCUAAGUGGAGAAGGCAGCGUUAAAGCAACCUCCUUGGUUUUCUUUUUCAUUUGAUGAAAAAUUACGACUUUUUUAUUUUUUUACUGCAGUCCAUUUAAAAACGAUGCCAUGCCAAACUUUCCUCGUUCUCAGCAGUGACUCCUCCCAGGCAACCCCUUUCACUAUGUUGCCUGCCCCUUUCUCCCUUCCCCUCACCCCCUGUUCUCUGCUGGGCUGGAAUUCCUGAGAGAGGCUGGGGGGAAUGGUGUCCCAGAAUAAGGAAAACCAUCUCUCCAAGACCACACAGUCAGUCCGCAGGGGCCCCCACCCCAUGCUUUAGCCAGACUGCCCUGCGCCUUUGCGGGACCCCAACGGGGGGUAACAACAAGCCUUGGCGAGGACACUGGGAAGGAGCAGCCCUCGGGCACGGCUGGGGUGUCAAGCCUCUGCUCAGUUCCUCAGGAAGGUAAACAUGGGCUAUCAUAUGACCCAGCAGUGCCAGGCUCAGGUACAUGCAUUAUUCCCAAUAGCCAAAAGGUGGAAACAACCCAAGCAUCCUUCAACAGGUGAAUGACAAACAAAACCUGGUGUGUACACACACAGGAACGUGAUUCAGCCGUGCAAAGGAAUGAAGCUCUGACACAUGCCACAACAUGGAUGAACCUCGGAAACACUAUGCUGGGUGAAAGGAGCCAGCCACAAAAGGACAGAUAGUGUGUGGCCGCCAUAUGGACUAUCUGGAGUAAGCACAUUCUGAGAGACAGAAGGCACCUGGCCUAGGCUGGCUGAAGCAUCUCUCUGGAGGGGUCCGGCCCGGUGGCCCUGGCAGGCAAGCAUCUUCCUGGACAGCCGGUACCGCUGCGAGGGGGCCCUCAUCUCUCAGGAGUGGGUGCUCUCCGGCGCCAAAUGCUUUGGCAGUUGGCCUCGAUCCCGCUUCAGCGUGACCUUGGGCCCAGCUCGACUGUCCCUGGAGGCCGCCAAGACCCCUCCAACCCACCCCGAUCGCUGCUCAGCAUCCUGCUGAAGCCACUGCCCUUGAACACCUGCCAAGCCGCCUUCCGCCUGCUACCUGACUGUCCCGCCGCGGAGGCGCGCCUGCCCCCGGGCGCC